GUCAUAUAGCAGAAUGUUUUAUAGCAUAUCUUAUACAUUGUAUAGUAAAAAAUAUUGUUUAAUUUGCUUUUUGAAGGUGCUGUAGAAAUUUAUAUCUAUAAAUUUUGUUUCUAAUGAAUUCCAUGCGUCAACUCCUUUAUUUGAGAGAGUGUGUUCUACAUAAUUUGUUCUUUUAUAACAUUUGUGAAGUUUUGAUGCAUUUCUCGUGUUAUAUUGAUGAAUUUGGUUGUUUGUCACAAAAUAAUCUUUAAAAAAUUCUGGUAAAUUAUUAAGAUGGUGGUAUCGAAACAUAAAUAAAGCAGUUAAAUAGUCGUUGAUUUUGAAGAUGUUGAGGAUAUUUAAAUCUUUGAAAAUUGGUUCACUGUGAUCAAAGUAAGAUUUGAAUGCCAUUAAACGCACUAUUUUUUUUUGU
rnacentral:lncRNA from 1 species